UCUCACCGUCUCCCAAGAGCUCAGAGCGCAGGCGGAGGCUUUAAUCCGUCCCCCGUCCCUGCAGGGACGCCAAGGACCUCCUGACUGUGCAGGGGGAAGUGGUCGAAAUGUCCACGGUGAAAAAGAUCACCAAGGGAAGGGAGAGCUUCCCGAUGCGCCACAUCAAGCUGCAGCAGGAGCUCAACUCAGACAGCGUGGUGGGUGUGAUCGGGGUCGUGGACCUUGAGGGCGAGCCAGGCCCCAACAUGCUGCUGGAGGACGGCCGGACGGUCCUCAUCGAGGAGGGACUGUGGAAAAAGGUGGAGGACCAGUUUAUUGAAUCGCCACUAAGGGCAGCAGUGCAGCUGAUGGGAAAUAGAGUCACGUCUAUUGACACCAUUAAAUAAAGUUGCUGUAUUCUUAGCUUGUUAUUUUUGUAUUUUUCCUGUAUAUAUUGUUCUGUUGUGUUAAUAAACUGCUUA
ensembl:lncRNA